UGGCGAUGAUGAUAAAGCCAAGGCUUGUUUUUCUUGACAUUUGCAGUAGCCACCCAAAAGCUUUAUGCCUGCUAGUCUUGAGAGCUAGUGCUGCUAAUUCCUUCCUAGGAUGUCUAAGCCA
rnacentral:snoRNA from 1 species